rnacentral:rRNA from 1 species
GCAUGUAGCGUUAGCACCGUGAACGCACCUGAUCUCCUCUGAUCUCUGAAGCUAACAGGUUGACCCUGGCUAGUACUUGGAUGAGAAACCACUUGGGAAUACUGAGUGCUGUAGCCU